GUGGCGGGUAGCGGCAGGUGAUCCUUGUGUGGCGGCACACACAAAGGACCGCCUCCACAAAGCGGCCGCUGUAAGCAGCCGGCUGUGUAGAGUUUCUGGCACCACACGGCUGUGUGGCGCCAGAGGGGGGAGUCGAACUCUCGCUCCGGUGUUGCGGAGUCUGCCGCGCUCUCCCCUAGGCCACCAGCUACUACCGAAAGAAGGGGACUCAAGGCGCUAUUUGAAGUUGGACGUUCCAGUGGUGGGCGGGGCUAUGAGCUGAGUGGCUGUGUUAGCUUUGGCACAGCUAACCUGUUUGAGCUGCUCUUGCUGUUUUCCAUGCCUUAAAGCUUUGUAUUGAUCGUCGUGCUAGAUUUCCUCCAUCCUGGCUCCCUUUCUGCAAAGAUGUUGGAGGAAGAUCAGUUAGAGCGGGAAGAAUGUGGGCAAAAAUCAGCUGGAUGCGUGGAAGCCGUUCCUCCUGUACAUACACAAGCAGACGCCGCAUCGAGCGGGCCGGCCCGUUGCUGUGACACAUCAACGCAGAGCCGCCAUAUUGCAUGUGGCAGAUGUGCGCUGUAAACGAAUCCAAGUCAAUGGACUGAACUUCAUGAAGCGCCUUUCUACAAACUUCUAUGCAGAGUCGUGUUGCCCAGGCUGCCCCUGAACACAUCCUAAAGCCUUCAGCCUGCAGCAGUCACAAGGAGGUGUGCUGCUGCCUCUGCUG